rnacentral:rRNA from 1 species
UACGGAGGGAGCGAGCGUUGUCCGAAGUUACUGGGCGUAAAGCGCGCGUAGGCGGGGGAUUAAGUGAGAAGUGAAAGGCUGGGGCUCAACCCCAUGCAGUGCUUCUCAUACUGGUCCUCUUGAGGGUGGUAGAGAGAAGUGGAAUUCCUGGUGUAGCGGUGAAAUGCGCAGAUAUCAGGAAGAACACCAAUAGCGAAGGCAGCUCGCUGGGACGGUAUUGACGCUAAGGCGCGAAAGCGUGGGGAGCAAACAGG